GUCCCUUUGAAAACAUCCGAUAAAAUUGAAACUAUACAGAGAACAUUAGCAUGCAAGGAUAACACACGAAUCACCUGAAAUCAAGAGGAUUGUC
rnacentral:snRNA from 1 species